GUGCACCAGUCGAGAAUUUUUCUCAAUGGGGGCAACCCUGAAGGAGCGACGCCGCGUGGAGGAUGAAGGCUUUCGGGUUGUAAACUCCUGUCAUUUGGGAACAAGUUGGACGCAGUAACUACGCGUCCAUUGAUAGUACCAGAAGAGGAAGGGACGGCUAACUCUGUGCCAGCAGCCGCGGUAAUACAGAGGUCCCAAGCGUUGUUCGGAUUCAUUGGGCGUAAAGGGUGCGUAGGUGGCGCCGUAAGUGGGGUGUGAAAUUUCGGAGCUUAACUCCGAAACUGCAUUCCAUACUGCGGUGCUUGAGGACUGGAGAGGAGACUGGAAUUCAUGGUGUAGCAGUGAAAUGCGUAGAGAUCAUGAGGAAGACCAGUGGCGAAGGCGGGUCUCUGGACAGUUCCUGACACUGAGGCACGAAGGCCAGGGGGGGCAAACGGGAUUAGAUACCCGGGUAGU
rnacentral:rRNA from 1 species